rfam:Cajanus cajan Scaffold000324_21, whole genome shotgun sequence.
AUUUGGUGAUGAGGAUAAAUGGCACACAACUUAUUGAAUCUCUCCCAAUACUCAUACAAAGUAUCACCAUUUUGCUACCUUAUUCCACAAAUCUCUUUUCUAAUAGU